ACCCUUUAAUGGCUGGUGUUCUAACGUAGACCCGUAAUCCGGGUUGCGGACAGUGUCUGGUGGGUAGUUUGACUGGGGCGGUCUCCUCCCAAAGAGUAACGGAGGAGCACGAAGGUUAGCUAAUCCUGGUCGGACAUCAGGAGGUUAGUGCAAUGGCAUAAGCUAGCUUGACUGCGAGAGUGACGGCUCGAGCAGGUGCGAAAGCAGGUCAUAGUGAUCCGGUGGUUCUGAAUGGAAGGGCCAUCGCUCAACGGAUAAAAGGUACUCCGGGGAUAACAGGCUGAUACCGCCCAAGAGUUCAUAUCGACGGCGGUGUUUGGCACCUCGAUGUCGGCUCAUCACAUCCUGGGGCUGAAGUAGGUCCCAAGGGUAUGGCUGUUCGCCAUUUAAAGUGGUACGCGAGCUGGGUUUAGAACGUCGUGAGACAGUUCGGUCCCUAUCUGCCGUGGGCGCUGGAGAAUUGAGGGGGGCUGCUCCUAGUACGAGAGGACCGG
rnacentral:rRNA from 1 species